rnacentral:rRNA from 1 species
UACGUAGGUGGCAAGCGUUGUACGGAAUUACUGGGCGUAAAGGGUGCGUAGGUGGUUUCUUAAGUCAGAGGUGAAAGGCUACGGCUCAACCGUAGUAAGCCUUUGAAACUGAGAAACUUGAGUGCAGGAGAGGAGAGUAGAAUUCCCAGUGUAGCGGUGGAAUGCGUAGAUAUUGGGAGGAACACCAGUGGCGAAGGCGACUACCUGGACGAAAACUGACGCUGAGGCACGAAAGCUAGGGGAGCAAACAGGAUUAGAUACUCGCGUAGUUCCUGA